rfam:Gloeocapsa sp. PCC 7428, complete genome.
GCGGGUGUAAUUCAGUGGUAGAAUGUUACCUUCCCAAGGUAAACGUCGUGGGUUCGAGUCCCAUCACCCGCU